rnacentral:misc_RNA from 1 species
GAAAACCCAAAUAAGUUCUUGAACAAAAGAUCAAAUCUUUAGCCCCAACAAAGCAUUGAAAUUACUGGUGGUGAUUUUGGCAAAUCUUAGAGAAACAAUUAUUGGAAAUAUGAGAACAGAUCUGGGGCAUAUGUAUGUAAAUGUAUGUAUUAACAUGAGAGUUGAGCUGGGGUUAAUACAAUGAUAGUGCUGACAGUUGUGAGAUUCGGCCUAACUUUUU